GUUUUAUCCAAAUCCAGAUGAAGAAUAUAUAGCUAAUCACUCGCUAAAUUGGACAUGUAGCAACAACAACCCACUAUAUCUCAGAGUAUAUGGUAGCGUCAAAAUAAUGCUAGGUGUGAAUAUGUAUACUCUUGUAUUCACGGAAUCUAAUAUGACCCUUAAAGAUUGGAUUUCUCCAAAUUAAUUGUUGGAUCAAUAUUAUCAUUACUAAACCGACAUGUUUAAGAUCAUGUUGUUACAAGUUAUCUCUUUCAUUUACUUAUAUGUUCACUUAGAGUAAAAAAAAUAAAAAUAAAAAGUAUUGUUUCUUGCUACUAAAAAUAAUAUUACCGC
rnacentral:lncRNA from 1 species